GCUACAGGUCCCUGGGCUGGUCCUUCCACAUCAAAAGGUCGAGUGUAGCAGGCAUAGCUAUGAGCCAUCUGCACAGGUCCAAACAACCCUCCUUCUCAGAUGCUUCUCCGAGCUUCUCAGAUGCAUCUUGAGUCCCUAUUGGCACUGCUCAACCUGGCCCUCAGGAUCCUAGAGGACCAUCUGAAGUCUCUUGGGAAGCCUGUAGGCUAACAAGGACACACUGUGCGCCGCUUCCCAACCACCGAGAGAGAAGCAGCAACAUGAGCCCUCUACAGUAACAACUCCUCCAUCCACCUCAUUUGACCAAGAGAUCUACAGGACGGAACUACUGUUCAGCACAGUGUCUGUCCAAUAAAUAUUUACUGAAAUGAA